rnacentral:rRNA from 1 species
GAUGAACGCUGGCGGCGUGCCUAAUACAUGCGAGUCGAGCGAACAGACGAGGAGCUUGCUCCUCUGACGUUAGCGGCGGACGGGUGAGUAACACGUGGAUAACCUACCUAUAAGACUGGGAUAACUUCGGGAAACCGGAGCUAAUACCGGAUAAUAUAUUGAACCGCAUGGUUCAAUAGUGAAAGACGGUUUUGCUGUCACUUAUAGAUGGAUCCGCGCCGCAUUAGCUAGUUGGUAAGGUAACGGCUUACCAAGGCAACGAUGCGUAGCCGACCUGAGAGGGGGAUCGGCCACACUGGAACUGAGACACGGUCCAGACUCCUACGGGAGGCAGCAGUAGGGAAUCUUCCGCAAUGGGCGAAAGCCUGACGGAGCAACGCCGCGUGAGUGAUGAAGGUCUUCGGAUCGUAAAACUCUGUUAUUAGGGAAGAACAAAUGUGUAAGUAACUAUGCACGUCUUGACGGUACCUAAUCAGAAAGCCACGGCUAACUACGUG